GUAGAUGUAGCUCAAUUGGUGGAGUAACUAUUUGUGGCAUAGUUGGUUCCUGGUUCGAGUCCAGGUAUUUACC